rnacentral:rRNA from 1 species
UACGAGGGGGGCAAGUGUUGUUCGGAAUCACUGGGCGUAAAGGGAGCGUAGGCGGGCUCUUAAGUUGGAUGUUUAAAACCGGGGCCCAACCCCGGCGUGGCAUCCAAAACUGGGAGUCUUGAAUGGAACAGAGGCUAGUGGAAUUGGAGGUGUAGCGGUGAAAUGCGUAGAUAUCGUAAGGAAGACCAGUGGCGAAGGCGGGUCUCUGGACAGUUCCUGACGCUGAGGAGCGAAAGCGUGGGGAGCGAACAGG